rnacentral:rRNA from 1 species
AUACGGAAGGUCCGGGCGUUAUCCGGAUUUAUUGGGUUUAAAGGGAGCGCAGGCGGAGAUGCAAGCGUGACGUCAAAUUUCGGGGCUCAACCCCGUCUCGCGUCGCGAACUGCGUCCCUUGGUUGCGGGAAGGGGAGGCGGAACUUGUGGGGGAGCGGGGAAAUGCAUAGAUAUCACGAAGAACCCCGAUCGCGAAGGCAGCCUUCCGGCCCGUCAACGACGCUCAUGCUCGAAGGUGCGGGUAUCAAACAGGAUUAGAUACCCUGGUAGUCCGCACAGUAAACGAUGGACACCCGCGGUUUGGCCUGUAUGGCUGAGCCGCCAAGCGAAAGCGUUAAGUGUCCCACCUGGGGAGUACGCCGGCAACGGUGAAACUCAAAGGAAUUGACGGGG